UCAGAGUCAGACCAUGUUAUUAACAUCAACCGGUUUCCUCUACUCCAUCCUGUGCUAAAUUACAGCUAGCAUUAACAUUUUUUUAUUAUUUCCUAUUGCUUCACUUUUGAUAGAGAUUAAUUACUUUAGUAUCAGUAGUAUUUAAGCUGUCUGUUGGAGGCAUGUGCUCUACAUCUUCAUAUUAUGUAGUGUGUAUCAUCCUAUCGCUUGAUACACUAAAAGUACUAUCGGUAUCUUUUUUUGAUCACAUAAUGGUCUAUAAUAUUUGUGUAACAACACUUAGUUCUUGACCUUUCUAGAUUCGAUGGGUUAGCAGUUUCAUUGGUUAUUUGAUCAUUCUUAUUAGUCACCCUCGGCAUGGCUUAGCUGACUUUUUAUAAUAAUGUUCAGCCAUGCAUGACAAAAAACUAAACUGACAAUAUUCACUUUUUCUGUGCAAGUUAGCUUUAAGUUAUGGUGUUCAUCAAAUAUUAUUUUAUACAAAAGCAUGCCACUGUAUUUGAAAAAAAUAGAUAGAAAAUUUACUAUAAGUGUGGGUUUCUUUCUUAUACUCGUCUUUAUUUUGGAAAUCCAUGUUUUUUCAUACAGGAGGGUCUGCUUUUGCACAGAAAGACAACAUUGAGCAAGAAGGUAAUUUAUGAGAUCGUCUAAGUCAGGCCCGGUGCAUAGUGUCAGGUCAAAGUUUGUUUGAGCCUUUUUUGCGACAUCAAGUGCUUCUCAUAUAUUCAACAGGUGCAUCUAAGACAGCAACACUCGCAUUGGUGUAUUCUGACAGUGUCCACCCAUCAUCAAGUAACAAGUUCAUAUCCACAGGUAUGCCAGAGUCAGCCACAUUUAUUUUUGCCAUUUUUUUAUAAUGAUCUAGCUAGCAUAUCACUUAUUUUUUAAAGUAAGUUUUGUUCUCUUAUUUGAAGUUACUUAGACACAUAAUUCCAGGAUUUAUUUUGGGUGCAGCUUUCUUGUUUUCAACUUGUAUAUCUCUUUUUCGGCAACUCUGUGCAUGUUCCUCUAUUUUUUCCUUUAUCUCCCUGUUCUUUUUUGUUGAUCCACACAAAGAUUAAUAACAGUUUUUUUAUACUAGAGAGUUGAAGUUGCUCUGUUGCAUGCUUUGUUUCAUGAAUUGUUGCAUAUUCUAUUUGAGUUAUCACAUUGAAAACAACAGAUAAGAAAUAAUAACUCCUUGCCCCCCUAUAUAUAGCUUGCAAAGUUUCAUCUGUUUGUACUUUAUUGAAAAUUAUAGUCCAACUAUACAAAUUUGCACAACUUAUUCAUAAUCUGGAAGAAGAUAAGGUUUUCAGGUUUCUCCAUCCCAUCUUUAAGAAUCUUAUUAUUUUCAAAAGUUUCCCAAAAAGUUUUUCCCCAAAACUAUGUAUUGAGGGCUCUUCCAAAAUUUUUUUUCCAAAAAACAUAUCAACCCACAACAGAUUGCUAAUAACUUGCCCCCAAUCCAAUCUUUUAUUUUGCUGCAACAUAUUCCUCACCUUUUUCCUUUCUUCCUUUCUUGCCGCAUGGCUCCAAUCCAAUCCCCUCCUGAUUCCUUUCUUGCUAUCAUAGCUUGUGAACACAUGCUACAGCUAUGCUCCCAGCUAGGCUCGAUUUAGAGGAGUUUAUGCCGAUUUGAGUAGUGAUUCACUGGAUCUCGACCGGAGGACAUCGAUUCGAGUUCAUUUUUGUCUGGAGGACAUCAAUUCUAGAUCGACUUCGAUACACGCUGGCUGCUCCCACCAUUGUGCCACGUUCGCGAAGAGCAAUGGAGCUCCCAUCCACAACACCUGAUUUUGCCUGCAUUGUUGAGCUCGCCAAGGUUGAUUUGUGUACACCAUUGACGGAGAGGCCGCGGACGCCACGGCCGUCGUGGUCUUGGUGGCGCUGCUUGCGCCCUGGUUCUUGGGCUGCUGCUAUGGCCUGUGCUCGUCGAUCCGCCCGGCCCCGCCAUGACCCGGACAUGUGCUCGUCGAUCCGCCCAGCCCCGCCAUGACCCGGACAUUGCCAACCGCAUCAGCGCCCUGCACGACGACUGCUGCUCUAGAUCCUCACCCGCCUCCGCUGCACCCACACCGCCGCUAUGCUCAUCGCCAAUCGCCAUUCGCUCGACGCCGUGCUUGUCGCUACCGAGCGAGGGAGAGAGGGAGGGGGGGAGCAGGAGGAGGAGGGGCACGGAGGACGAGGGGUGGAUAGCAUGUGGGAAGGAGCCGUUGGUAGCGAUCGAGGAAAAAUAAGAUUUUGGAAUAAUUUUAAGGAGCUUUUGGAGUUUCUCUAACCAGAACUCUUUAAAUAGGCAGUGGUGCACCGACACGACCUUCUGUUUUGGCGGGCUAUAAAACUCCAGCUUCCGGCUGUCUGUCAUCUUUUGACUUUUUUUCUGGAUCAUUUUCCUCAAAGGCCCGUUCAAAAAAUUUUGUUCAGAAACAGACCAAAAAAGAGCCCAAAGUUGAAAAAUGAAGCCUAAAACAAACCCCCGGGUCCACUUGGUCCUCUUUUUUUCUUAACGGGUCUACCGGGUCCGUUUUUGGAAAG